CAAUAGCGUAUAUUAAAGUUGUUGCAGUUAAAAAGCUCGUAGUUGGAUUUCUGGUAGGAGUGACCGUUCCGAACUUGAUUGUUCGUGUAUUGUGUUUUCUCCAGCCAUCCUUGUGGAGAACUUUUCUUGCAUUAAUUUGUAGGGAUUGGGACCCGCAUCGUUUACUGUGAAAAAAUUAGAGUGUUUAAAGCAGGCAAUCGCUUGAAUACAUUAGCAUGGAAUAAUAAGAUAGGACUUUGGUACUAUUUUGUUGGUUUGCAUACCAAAUUAAUGAUCAACAGGAACAGUUUGAGGAUAUUCGUAUGAACAUGUCAGAGGUGAAAUUCUUGGAUUUUGAUCAGACGAACUACUGCGAGAGCAUUUAUCAAGGAUGUUUUCAUUAA
rnacentral:rRNA from 1 species